CUCAAGCGUGGCCGGUGCCUGAGGAUGCCAUCUUUCCUGGGCUCUCUGCAUCUUGAGUAAUGAGUUUUGCAUUCUGAUCACGUCCGGUCUUUGGGUCUUUGAAAACUUAUCCGGACUUUGCAAGGAGAGAAGAAUCUCGACGAGUGAGGGCCCUUAAUUUUCUAGAACUACAACUGACUAAAUCAGAUACUACUUAGGAGACAAUUGAGACCUCAGUCUCCCCGCCCCGCGCCUCCCUGCAUCCUGGAUUUCCCCAGGAGCUCCCAGAGUGUCAAAGCCCGGUACCCGGGGUGGGGGUGGGGGCAGACCCUGAACCCUGAGCGCUAUUGCUGCGGGCAAGGGCAGGGGAAGCUGGUCCAGCGGGUCGGCAGAUGGAUCCACUAUGAUACGAAGGGCCAGCUACCUCAUACCCUCUCCCAUGUGAACUGAGCUGCUCCCAUCAUGCCCUUUUCACCACCAUGGACCGAAACUCUCUGAAACUAUGAAUACCCCAGACACUACUCAUCAAAGCUCAUUUUGCAUCAGUCAGAGACUAUUACCAAGUACCACAACUGGUCACAACGGACAUUGUCUAUGAAUUGCCAAGGCUUAAGUGACACAUCCAUAAUGCAACUUCUACACCUAAGGCUCAAGGAACAUAGAAUAAGGGUAAAGAAGAUGACGUUAAUGAAUCUCUUAGUUCUCAAUAAUGAAGCUCCUUCAUACAGCUGAGGGCCAGGGCAAAAAAGGUCACAUAUGGCAGAAGCAUAGAGAUCAAGAGUCUGCUGAAUGCUGGUCCUUGGACAGGACUCCUUUAUU